rnacentral:lncRNA from 1 species
ACACUUAACUAGUUCCACAAAGCUUUGUUGUCUAUUUGAGCUCCACAGAAUUCAAGGAUCAAAGAAGACUAGCAGACAGAGGACAUCCUAAUCGCUGUCAGAGUGCUGCCGACAUUCAAAUACACCUCCGCCACCUGCUAGCUACAUCAGAAGAAAUUACGUCAAAAUCCAGCUUGGGGGAGAGCACUCCCAUUUAUCCAGCUAAGUGUUCUACUCACGUUUAUACUUUACUCAAAUAAUAAAAGGAUGCAUAAUCAUAAAAACCCAAAUAAAGAUUUUUUGCUUAUAUAUAUCUUUGCUUAGUUUGCUAAAUAAAUAAAGUUUUCUAUGAACCCUCAUGAUAAGCUCUCACAUGGAAAUGAUGAAUAGUUGCUCUGCCAUGACUAAAUUCUCAAAAUUGAAAUCUCUCUCAAGUUUAGGCCUCACUGUUAUUAAUUAAGAUUUGCUCUAAACCUGAACUUGUGGGAAGAGUACUUGAUCUAAAGUCUAAGUCGUUAACGGAUAUGAUAUGGGAAGGUUGAGCUAUUGUUUAUCUGUUCAUAGAGAUGCUAGAAUUCUGGAGAAUUUUGUCUUUGAAAUUCUUUAAAAUGUUGCAUGAUGAGUUCCUAUAUGAUGAGAGUUUAAAUUCCUACCACAGCCAUAUAUACAAACUUGCUAAAAUUUGAGCCACACAUUUACUUUUUACUACUUAUGAGCAUUGAGUGUGGUCAAGCUGUGUAGACCCUUAGGAGCUUGUCAUGUGGUUAAAAUCAAGAUUCACUUGCACGUUCACUCAUACAUGCUGCAUCUACUCCGGAAGUACGUCGACCCAUUUCCAUCUCCAGAACCACCCAAAAAUAUUCUACUCCUAAUCAGGGAGAGAAUAGCCAAAAACAUUUCUAUUUUCCCUUAUGAAAUAAAUGCUCUAGUUAUCUUGGUUACUACCACUUACUACAUUAUUUCAAGAGAUGAGUGAUCUAAAAAAGAAAAAAAAAAGAGAAAGAAUACGAGGAAAUAAAAAGGGGCAAGUGCUUGGAACCUCGAAAGAAAAAAAAAAGUGAGACGAGUGGUAAAAAUGGACAAGUGUCCGACAGUAGAAUUAGGGGUACAAGAUACCCACCUGAGAGGAAAGAAAAAAAAGAAAAUAUAGAGCAUCUCAUUUCCCUCAAAAAGUUUCAAAAGAGCAAGAAAGGUAUGUAUCCCCUCAAAAGAGCACAAGUAGAAUUAGACUUUCACCAUUGUUAUCACCAUCAUCACCAUACACCAUUCAUUCGCCACACAUGCACAUCUUGAUUUGACUUAUUGACUUGUUCUUUUGGAUCCAUGGUUUGACCAUGCAAUAAAUGUCUUGUAAGUAUGUAUUAGCUGUCUCCCACUUAUGAGCUCUAGAUAUCAAAACCUUAUUAGAGUAGGGUGAGAGAGAAGGCAAUGUCACUAUGCCUUAUACCACAAAUACCACAUAUUUUGAGAGAAGGCAUACACCAUUACUGCCUUGGUAAGGAUCUAGAAAUACCACAAAAGAGAGACUAGAGAGAGUCAUACAAGGAAUCUCUGAGUUUUAUUUGAAAAUCUGCAAAAACUCUAGAGCUAUAGCUGAUCAAGAAUAAGAGACAUGGCACUUGACUAGACUGUUCUAUCUUUUAACUACUCAAGACACAAGUGACGGUUGCAAGCCCCAUGGUGGAAGGUAAAAUGAGUAAGUUUAAAUCUUAACAGUUUACCCUAGCCUGGAGAUGAGAUCUUGUUUGAACACAUGUGUACCUUUAGGGCAUGAAACCACUGCAGAAACUCUUGAGUCCAUCUUUGCUCAGGGAUGAGCAAAGGUUAAGCUUGGGCGAGCUUGUUGACGGUCCUUAAUGCUCACAUUUAACCGUCAACUAAUCAUGGAAAAGGAUCUAAAUGCAACUAACACCUAGACUUAGGGUUUUAUCUGACAGAAUUCUACGAGUUUUGGUGUUUGUCUAUUUCUGCAGGGGGUUAUGAGGAAAUACAGAAGAAAGGCCCAC